rnacentral:rRNA from 1 species
GACGAACGCUGGCGGCGUGCCUAAUACAUGCAAGUAGAACGCAGUUGCGAACAGGUGAGUAACGCGUAGUUAACUGCCUCAUAGCGUGGGGUAACUCUUGGAAACGAUAGGUACAACCGCAUACUGUGAGCUGAUCCUGCGUUGUAUUGGUUAGUUGGUGAGGUAAAAGCUCACCAAGGCGAAGAUACCUAGCCGACCUGCGAGGGUGGUUGGCCACCACGGGACUGAGGAACGGCCCAGACUUCCAAGGUAUGCAGCAGUAGGGAAUCUUUGGCAAUGGACGGAAGUCUGACCGAGCAACGCCGCGUGAGUGAAGAAGGUUUUCGGAUCGUAAAGCUCUGUUGGUUGAGAAGCGGUAACUAACCAGAAAGGGACGGCUAACUACGUGCCAGCAGCCGCGGUAAUAC